rnacentral:rRNA from 1 species
CAGCCGCCACGGUAAUACAGAGGGUGCGAGCGUUAAUCGGAUUUACUGGGCGUAAAGCGUGCGUAGGUGGUGGUUUAAGUCCGUUGUGAAAGCCCUGGGCUCAACCUGGGAAUUGCAGUGGAUACUGGGUCACUAGAGUGUGGUAGAGGAUAGUGGAAUUUCCGGUGUAGCAGUGAAAUGCGUAGAGAUCGGAAGGAACAUCUGUGGCGAAGGCGACUAUCUGGGCCAACACUGACACUGAGGCACGAAAGCGUGGGGAGCAAACAGGAUUAGAUACCCGAGUAGUCCCUGUCUCUUAUAC